UCCUUCUUUUUCUCUCUUUUCCCUUCUUUCUUUUUCUUCCAUUUCUCUUAUUCUUCUCUUCACGUCCGUUGUGAAAUCGCCCGGCUCAACUGGGCGGGGUCGGCGGAUACGGCCGAGCUGGAGCAAGCUAGGGGGUAAUGGAAUUCCCGGUGUAGUGGUGGAAUGCGUAGAUAUCGGGAGGAACACCAGUGGCGAAGGCGGUUACCUGGAGCUUUGCUGACGCUGAUGCGCGAAAGCGUGGGGAGCGAUCCGG
rnacentral:rRNA from 1 species